rnacentral:misc_RNA from 1 species
CUAACCGUUCGAUCAUAAAAGAAUAAUAUCACGAUGAGAUUAGGAUGAGAUCGAACAGCUAAGAUUUGGAGUUUAUGAUAAUACAGUGGAACAUAAUUUAUUGCCGACACGAAACCAUGGGCUUGCCUUGGAAGCAAACAUAAAAACGAAGAAGAGAAUGUUUUCUGUUAUUUUUUAGCGUUAAUAAUCGCGUCCAAAUUCAGUGUUUUUCUUACUUCCAACUUCAAUCUUAGCUUCAUCCUCCACCGCCUUCCUUUCCCCUCCUCCUCCGAUAUCUACUCCUAAAAUCGUUUCAGUCUUGCGGUGAAUCAAAUUUGUAAUCCAUUGCAAUCGGAAAGCAAUAGAAAGAAAAGACAGAGAAUAGGCUCGAAAUUGCGAGUAUUAUCAGGUAAAAGUUUUAAUUUUUUCGAUUUUUGAUAUCUUGAUUUUGAUUUUUCCAAUCAGCAUAUAUCGGUUUUUGGAUUACAGAUUCGAAUUUCGGAUGAUAUUAUUAUGGAUUUCUUCUUGGCGUUCGCUGAUGAAAAUUGCCAUUUUUUUUUAAUUUAAAAAGUUAAACUUUAUUAGUGUGUGAUUUUUAACGGCCGUUGGAUCUUUAAUCGUGAAGUUUGGACGGUCCAGGUCGGUUAGUCAUAAAGAAGUAGUUGACAUAAUCGACGAAUUCUAUGAGCUGUAAACCGACAUUUAAUUGAGGUCCUGGAAUUUUGUAGGGUCAACAUUGCCCUUAUAAAAAUGCGUGCUGAACGAGGAAUAUGUGGGGACAUUUGGGUAAUUUGGCCAGCUCUCACGCGCACGCGUUUCUUAUGUCAAUACUACCCUUCGCAAAAGUUCAAAUGCCAUUGCUCGCCUACAUGUAUACUGAAGUCUAUUGUUUCUUUAGCAAGCGGUCAGAGGGUAAAAUCGGGAAUUCAUAAAAAUAUAAAAGUGAAUAUUUUACCAAACUAAUGCAAAAAAUAUAAGUAAUGUUUUUAUUUUUUUUUCGUUUUUUAAUCUAACAAUGCAUUAAACGAUCUCACCAGCGACUCAUCGGGUUUAUUUCAACGGAAAUCAGAAGAUUUCAAAACCCUAACCCUCAUUUUCUUGUGUAGAAACGAGAGAAUUCAAGAUGGGUUCUGAGCAGAACGAUGGCACAAGCUUUCCUCCCUCUGAGCCACUUCUCUGCGCUAAUGGGUGUGGCUUCUUUGGGACGGCCGCGAACAUGAACCUUUGCUCCAAGUGCUACCGCGAUCUUCGCGCCGAGGAAGAAAAGGCUGCCUCAGCCAAGGCGGCGAUGGAGAAGACACUCAGUAUCAAAUCGAAACAAGAGGAUAUUAUUGCUGAUAUCCAUGAUGUGGUGGUGGCUGUUAUGCCGGCGUCUUCUAAUCCUUUUGUGCCUGUGGCGACCUCUGAAUCAUCAUCUUCAUCAUCGGUGCCUCCGGUGUCUGCUAAUGAUCAGGUUCAGCCCAAAGCAGCGAAUAGGUGCUUUUGUUGCAAUAAGAAGGUUGGCUUGACUGGAUUUAAGUGCAAGUGCGGGGGCACCUUCUGUGGGUCUCAUCGGUACUCGGAAAAUCAUGACUGCUCAUUUGAUUUCAAGGGGGCUGGCCGUAAUGCGAUUGCUAAGGCGAACCCUGUUGUUAAGGCUGAUAAGGUGGAGAGGAUCUGAUCCUCACUGGAUUGGUAAUUUGGAAUUCACCAUGGAGUUUCAUUUUCUUUUUUAGGUUUUUUUUUCCUCCAAUUAUAGAUUAUCAGUGUUAGUGGGUCAAAGGGC